rnacentral:rRNA from 1 species
AUUGAACGCUGGCGGCAUGCCUUACACAUGCAAGUCGAACGGUAACAGGUCUUCGGAUGCUGACGAGUGGCGAACGGGUGAGUAAUACAUCGGAACGUGCCCGAUCGUGGGGGAUAACGGAGCGAAAGCUAUGCUAAUACCGCAUACGAUCUACGGAUGAAAGCAGGGGACCGCAAGGCCUUGCGCGGACGGAGCGGCCGAUGGCAGAUUAGGUAGUUGGUGGGAUAAAAGCUUACCAAGCCGACGAUCUGUAGCUGGUCUGAGAGGACGACCAGCCACACUGGGACUGAGACACGGCACAGACUCCUACGGGAGGCAGCAGUGGGGAAUUUUGGACAAUGGGCGAAAGCCUGAUCCAGCCAUGCCGCGUGCAGGAUGAAGGCCUUCGGGUUGUAAACUGCUUUUGUACGGAACGAAAAGACUCUUUCUAAUAAAGAGGGUCCAUGACGGUACCGUAAGAAUAAGCACCGGCUAACUACGUG